UACGGAGGGUGCAAACGUUGCUCGGAAUCAUUGGGCGUAAAGCGCACGUAGGCGGCUAGAUAAGUCGGGUGUGAAAGCCCUGGGCUCAACCCAGGAAGUGCAUUCGAAACUGUCUAGCUUGAAUCUCGGAGGGGGUCAGAGAAUUCCCGGUGUAGAGGUGAAAUUCGUAGAUAUCGGGAGGAAUACCAGUGGCGAAGGCGCUGACCUGGACGAAGAUUGACGCUGAGGUGCGAAAGCGCGGGGAGCCGAACAGG
rnacentral:rRNA from 1 species